GGCUGAAAUUCGCCUUCCAUGAAGCCGGAAUUGCUAGUAAUGGCAGGUCAGCAUACUGCCGUGAAUACGUUCCCGGGCCUUGUACACACCGCCCGUCACACCAUGAGAGUUGGAAAUACCCGAAGCCUGUGAGCUAACUUAAGGGAGGCAGCAGUCGAAGGUAGAGCCAAUGAUUGGGGUGAAGUCGUAACAAGGUAGC
rnacentral:rRNA from 1 species